CCACAUCUCCUUCAGGACGCCAUCUGCUGCCAUCUUGUCGUGAACGUGAGUAUGUCACUCUUAAGAUUCAGCGCGCGCCCCAGAAAGCCAUUUCAAAGUCAACUGUCAGAAGUGUCAUUGCAUUAGCAAAUAGGAAGCCAGCUCAAGAACGAAAAUAAUAUACACCUCUUACCUCUUUGGUGGCAAAACUGAAAGAAAUGUGUCCAAGCAAAAGCACUGAAAGUAUAACAUUGCAAUUAAAGUGUUUAUGACUUCAUCUGCAACAUUGAAAGAACGCAAGGCAGCCAUUUUGAAAUUUAGUGUCCCUGCAAUAAUCACCUUCUGCGAGAUGAUUAUGAGGGGAUACGAUGCAAUCCUCAACCAUAGAGUGCACAUCUCUAUUAUCACUGGGACAAUGAUAUCAAAUAAAUAUAUUGAAAACU